UAGCCGAAUAAGAUAAUUAUCAUAUUACAAGUCUUUUGUACUACAAAAAUAUAACAUUUUCAAAUAACCCACUAUUUUAUUCUAAAAUACCACGACUCGUUAGUAAUUAGUGUGAUUAUAAACCGAAAUCUAACCCACUUGCCUCAGUAUAACAAUUGAGAAUGAUUAGGGGCUCUGUCUUUUUUGAAAUUUUUUCUGCCUUCUCUCUUCCUUUAACUUUUUAUCUUAGUCUCUUUACUGCCGCGUGACACCUUCUGGUGACCGGUGACAGCACCUUUGGUCUCUGCAUUUUCCUUCCUUUCUGUUAUUAGCUUCCCCUAAGUGAUUUUUCACAUAUGUUUUCCUUGUUGUGGGCAUUUUCUCCCCUUGUGGGCAUGUUCUUCUCCUUCUAUGGAGCCUUGUUUUGCAGAUCUGAAUCUCAGAUUCUGCCUCGUUCUUCUUGAAUAUAAAGGGAGCUGUUUUCAGUUGCUAUUUUCAUCAAUCUUUCAUCUACCUUCUUAUUUCGCCCAUUGCGUUGGUAAUCCGGAGAUGUCGUUCUCACAUGAACUUGGAUGCCGAUGGUUGAGUUUGCGGCAGAGACAACAUCAAUCGGAGGAAAGCUAUCUAUUUCUUGUUUUGGUAGUACCGACGAUUAAGUCGGCGGCAUUCUCUGGCGAGUUCCUUGGUCGUCGGCGGCUGUGGAAAAUCGUAGGGAUUGACAGCUGCAAUCUUUUGUUGUUAGGAGAUUAGGUUUUGUAUUAUUUCUAUGGGCUAGGGUUUGUACUUAGGCUGUAAUAUUAUCUAUCUGCUUGUGUCUUUCUUUAGGCUUUGUCCUACCUUUGUAUUCAUUCCUCCCGUAAUAUAUAUUGCCGAUUUGUAAAAAAAAAAACAGAGAAAAAGGAAGGAGUUUUGGUAGUGUACUGGGUAGAUGAAGAAGCUGGCACACUGAUUAAAUAUCUUCCAGUUCAAGAAGAACAUCCCAAUACGUGAUGGAAGCAAUUGUCACAUUCCAAAACACUUUCAUCUGAUCAUUAAUGUCUUUAUAUACAUUACACAUUCCAAUCAUAUGUUUUACUGUUUCCUUUCGCAAUAAUUAUGGACGUGUUGGGACUGAAUUUGUAAUUUUCAGGUUAAUUUCCUCUUACAUGGGAACAAGAUACAUGCGUGUAUUGUGGUCUGAUUACCA
rnacentral:lncRNA from 1 species